rnacentral:rRNA from 1 species
CCCUUAGAUGUUCUGGGCCGCACGCGCGCUACACUGACCAGUGCAACAAGCAUCCGUCCUUGGCCGACAGGCCCGGGCAAUCUUUGAACGCUGGUCGUGAUGGGGAUAGACUUUUGCAAUUUUUGGUCUUCAACGAGGAAUUCCUAGUAAACGCAAGUCAUCAACUUGCAUUGAUUACGUCCCUGCCCUUUGUACACACCGCCCGUCGCACCUACCGAUUGAAUGGUCCGGUGAAGCCUCCGGAUUGGCGCGCACCUCGGUGCCGCCGAGAAGUUGGCUAAACCUUACCAUUUAGAGGAAGGUGAAGUCAUAACA